rnacentral:tRNA from 1 species
AUUUGGGUAUCUUAUAUUAGAGUGUAACGCUGAAGAUGUUAUUGAGGUUAUUAUUGCCCCCAAGUA